AAGCCAGCCAGCUAAUCUUAUCUGAAUGUGUUUCUGCAGAAAUUUAGAACACCUGGCAAUAGUGAUGCCAUUUUAUGAGCUUUAAGGACAACUGAGGUCAUUAUAGUCCUUCAAAAUGGCUACAAUA